rnacentral:rRNA from 1 species
CCUACGGGUGGCAGCAGUGAGGAAUAUUGGUCAAUGGGCGCGAGCCUGAACCAGCCAAGUCGCGUGAGGGAUGAAGGUUCUAUGGAUUGUAAACCUCUUUUAUAAGGGAAUAAAGUGUGGGACGUGUCCUAUGUGGUAUGUACCCUAUGAACAAGGAGCGGCCAACUCCGUGCCAGCAGCCGCGGUAAUACGGAGGAUCCGAGCGUUAUCCGGAUUUAUUGGGUUUAAAGGGUGCGUAGGCGGCCUUUUAAGUCAGCGGUGAAAGUCUGUGGCUCAACCAUAGAAUUGCCGUUGAAACUGGGGGGCUUGAGUAUGGUUGAGGCAGGCGGAAUGCGUGGUGUAGCGGUGAAAUGCUUAGAUAUCACGCAGAACCCCGAUUGCGAAGGCAGCCUGCCAAGCCAUGACUGACGCUGAUGCACGAAAGCGUGGGGAUCAAACAGGAUUAGAUACCCUUGUAGUC